rnacentral:lncRNA from 1 species
AAACACGGGUUUGGGUUAAAAGGAAAGCUCAGAUUCUCACCUCUAACCUGUGCUUCUGCCUUCUUUUGGCCUCACUUUAAGUUUCCUCCCUUGCCUAAGUGGAACCAUCCCCCUUUGCCCAAGUUUCCACUUCCCCCAUUCAAAGGCUUCCACCACCAUUAUCCAAUAAUCCCUCCCAUCUACAAGAAACCUCUUCCGCCACCGUCCCCGGUGUACAAGCCCCCUCCAGUUCCCGUAAACCCACCUGUUCCAAUCUAUAAACCUCCACCAGUUCCAGUCUAUAAACCUCCUCCAGUUCCAGUAAAACCACUUCCUCCACCUGUUCCAAUCUACAAACCUCCACCAGUUGAAAAACCACAUCCUCCACCUGUUCCAGUCUAUAAACCUCCACCAGUUCCAGUAUACAAGAAGCCAUGUCCUCCACCAGUUCCAGUCUAUAAAUCUCCUCCGGUUCCAGUAUACAAGAAACCGCAUCCUCCUCCAGUUCCAGUCUAUAAGAAACCACAUCCACCUCCAGUUCCAGUAUACAAGAAACCAUGUCCUCCCCCAGUUCCAGUCUAUAAAUCUCCUCCAGUUCCGGAACCACAUCCUCCGCCAGUUCCAGUCUAUAAGAAACCACAUCCACCUCCAGUUCCAGUAUACAAGAAACCAUGUCCUCCCCCAGUUCCAGUCUAUAAAUCUCCUCCAGUUCCGGAACCACAUCCUCCGCCAGUUCCAGUCCAUAAGCCUCCUCCAGUUCCGGUAUACAAGAAAAGAGUCCCUCCUCCGGUUCCAAUCUACAAGCCCCCUCCAGUUCCUGUAUACAACAAACCACUACCUCCCCCGGUUCCAGUGUAUACGAAGCCACUUCCACCACCUGUUCCAACCUACAAACCAAAACCCCUCCCUCCCAUUCCUUACAAGCCACUCCCUCCACUUCCCAAGAUCCCUCCAUUCCCUAAGAAGCCAUGCCCUCCCCUUCCUAAGCUACCUCCUCUUCCCAAGAUUCCUCCCAAGUAUUUCCACCACCACCCUCCCCUUCCUAAGCUACCUCCUCUCCCUAAGAUUCCUCCCAAGUAUUUCCACCACCAUCCCAAGUUCGGAAAAUGGCCUUCUUUGCCACCCUUUGCUCCCCAUCAUCCUUAAGCUAUCUUGCAUUGUUUUACGCAUUUAAUGAAGGUGGUUAGUGUGAACAAGUUCCCCAGCAGUACCUCAUGCAAUAAAUGUAGCAACAAAAG